rnacentral:lncRNA from 1 species
AUUUGGUAUCCAGUUGUAUAAGCAUUUGCAUAUCUCAUAUCCAUUGAGAUUAUUUGACUCUAGGCUCCUGAGUUAUUGUCUACUGACUUUGAAACUUUUGCUUAGUUUUCAUGUGAUAGUUUGUGAUUAGGUCAGUUUAUGGGUAAACACUAGUGGUAGGUCAAUGUUAAUUGGUAUGCAGUAGUAUAAGAAUUGACACAUCUCAUUACAAUGAAGGAUAUAUGGCCCCUCCCCUCAGUCAUGGUCUAGACUUUGAAACUGCUAAUGUUUAGUCAAUUAUAUUUUGUAUGCAAAUUGAUUGGCAAUUGCAAGUCUCCUUUCCAUGGAGAUUAUUUAGGCCCAUCCCUCAUCAUGGUGCAUUGACUUUAAAUCUUUUACAUAGUUUACAAGUUAAUGUUUGUGUCCAGGUUUGUUUAAAGGGAACAACGUAUGAAAAUUAAAUGGUAUUUGGUAUGCAGUUGUAUUAGCAUUGGCACAUCUCAUUUCUAAGGAGAUUGUAUAGCCCUGUACCCUCAGUCAUGGUUCAUUAACCUUAAAAAUUUGCAUAGCUUGCAUGUUAAGGUAUUGCUAUUUGAUUUCAACAUUUGCAUUAUCAAAAUUACUAAAAGUGUAAAUUACAUCUCUGUGUAAAUAGUUACAGAAACAUAAUGCAUCGGACACAACAUUCUAUACACGCUACACACCAAAACAAUUUAUCAAUGAAGUAUAUACUGAAAUACUCAAGUUAUGAAAUAAUGUGUAUGUGCAUAACCAAG